rnacentral:rRNA from 1 species
UACAGAGGGGGCAAGCGUUGUUCGGAAUUAUUGGGCGUAAAGGGCUCGUAGGCGGUUUGUCGCGUCGGGAGUGAAAACACCGGGCUUAACUCGGUGCUUGCUUUCGAUACGGGCAGACUAGAGGUGAUUCAGGGGAGAACGGAAGUUCCUGGUGUAGCGGUGAAAUGCGCAGAUAUCAGGAGGAACACCGGUGGCGAAGGCGGUUCGUCUGGGAAUAUCCUGACGCUGAGGAGCGAAAGUGUGGGGAGCGAACAGG